rnacentral:rRNA from 1 species
GAUAAACGCUAGCGGCAGGCUUAACACAUGCAAGUCGAGGGGCAUCACAAGGAGCAAUCUGAGGUGGCGACCGGCGUACGGGUGCGUAACGCGUAUGCAACCUGCCCGUCACAGAGGGAUAAUCCGGAGAAAUCUGGUCUAAUACCUCAUAAUAUCCGGGGGGGCAUCUUCCUGGGUUGAAAUUUUCGGAGGUGACGGAUGGGCAUGCGUAGCAUUAGUUAGUUGGUGAGGUAACGGCUCACCAAGGCAUCGAUGCUUAGGGGGACUGAGAGGUUUUCCCCCCAAACUGGUACUGAGACACGGACCAGACUCCUACGGGAGGCAGCAGUGAGGAAUAUUGGUCAAUGGGCGGAAGCCUGAACCAGCCAUGCCGCGUGCAGGAUGACGGCUCUACGAGUUGUAAACUGCUUUUGUACGAGGGUAAUGUUACAUACGUGUAUGUAAUUGAAAGUAUCGUACGAAUAAGGAUCGGCUAACUCCGUGCCAGCCGCCGCGGUAACAC